GAUGAACGCUGGCGGCGUGCCUAAUACAUGCGAGUCGAGCGGACAGACGAGGAGCUUGCUCCUCUGACGUUAGCGGCGGACGGGUGAGUAACACGUGGAUAACCUACCUAUAAGACUGGGAUAACUUCGGGAAACCGGAGCUAAUACCGGAUAAUAUAUUGAACCGCAUGGUUCAAUAGUGAAAGACGGUUUUGCUGUCACUUAUAGAUGGAUCCGCGCCGCAUUAGCUAGUUGGUAAGGUAACGGCUUACCAAGGCAACGAUGCGUAGCCGACCUGAGAGGGUGAUCGGCCACACUGGAACUGAGACACGGUCCAGACUCCUACGGGAGGCAGCAGUAGGGAAUCUUCCGCAAUGGGCGAAAGCCUGACGGAGCAACGCCGCGUGAGUGAUGAAGGUCUUCGGAUCGUAAAACUCUGUUAUUAGGGAAGAACAAAUGUGUAAGUAACUAUGCACGUCUUGACGGUACCUAAUCAGAAAGCCACGGCUAACUACGUG
rnacentral:rRNA from 1 species